rnacentral:rRNA from 1 species
GACGAACGCUGGCGGCGUGCUUAACACAUGCAAGUCGAACGGUAAGGCCCUUCGGGGUGCACGAGUGGCGAACGGGUGAGUAACACGUGGGUGAUCUGCCCUGCACUUCGGGAUAAGCCUGGGAAACUGGGUCUAAUACCGGAUAGGACUCCUGGCUUCAUGGUUGGGGGUGGAAAGCUUUUGCGGUGUGGGAUGGGCCCGCGGCCUAUCAGCUUGUUGGUGGGGUAAUGGCCUACCAAGGCGACGACGGGUAGCCGGCCUGAGAGGGUGACCGGUCACACUGGGACUGAGAUACGGCCCAGACUCCUACGGGAGGCAGCAGUGGGGAAUAUUGCACAAUGGGCGCAAGCCUGAUGCAGCGACGCCGCGUGAGGGAUGACGGCCUUCGGGUUGUAAACCUCUUUCAGCCAUGACGAAGCGCAAGUGACGGUAGUAGCAGAAGAAGGACCGGCCAACUACGUGCCAGCCGCCGCGGUAA